AGGGAGUUUGAUCCUGGCUCAGGAUUAGAUACCCUGGUAGUCCGGAAUUCGGCUUAGAGUUUGAUCCUGGCUCAGGACGAACGCUGGCGGCGUGCCUAACACAUGCAAGUCGAACGGAACUACUAGGAAGGAUCUCUUCGGAGAAACGGAAUUUUAGUUUAGUGGCGGACGGGUGAGUAACGCGUGAGUAACCUGCCUUUGAGAGGGGAAUAACGUUCUGAAAAGAACGCUAAUACCGCAUAACAUAUAUUGAUCGCAUGGUCGGUAUAUCAAAGAUUUUAUCGCUCAAAGAUGGACUCGCGUCCGAUUAGCUUGUUGGCGGGGUAACGGCCCACCAAGGCGACGAUCGGUAGCCGGACUGAGAGGUUGAACGGCCACAUUGGGACUGAGACACGGCCCAGACUCCUACGGGAGGCAGCAGUGGGGGAUAUUGCGCAAUGGGGGCAACCCUGACGCAGCAACGCCGCGUGAAGGAUGAAGGUUUUCGGAUUGUAAACUUCUUUUGUCAGGGACGAAAUUUGACGGUACCUGACGAAUAAGCUCCGGCUAACUACGUGCCAGCAGCCGCGGUAAUACGUAGGGAGCAAGCGUUGUCCGGAUUUACUGGGUGUAAAGGGUGCGUAGGCGGCUAAGCAAGUCAGAUGUGAAAUCUAUGGGCUCAACCCAUAAACUGCAUUUGAAACUGCAUAGCUUGAGUGAAGUAGAGGCAGGCGGAAUUCCCCGUGUAGCGGUGAAAUGCGUAGAGAUGGGGAGGAACACCAGUGGCGAAGGCGGCCUGCUGGGCUUUAACUGACGCUGAGGCACGAAAGCGUGGGUAGCAAACAGGAUUAGAUACCCUGGUAGUCCCCU
rnacentral:rRNA from 1 species